rnacentral:lncRNA from 1 species
GUGAUUUAGAAAUUAGGAUAACAUGAAUUUUUGUUGAUAGAUGAGUAUUUUUUUAGAUUUUUUGACCAAUAGCUUAUAUUUUUUUAAAAAAAUUUCCAAAAAUUCUAUUUUAGGAAAAUUUUCAUUUUUAUAGAAAAAUAUUGUAGAUUUGGGGCUGUGAUUUAGAGAUUAGGAUAACAUGAAUUUUUGUUGAUAGAUGAGUAUUCUUUUAGAUUUUUUGAUCAAUAGCUUGUAUUUU